AUUGAAUAUGAUCUUGUUAUUAAAUUCUUCUUUACACCUCAGUCUACAUGACAAUUUUUUCAAGCUUUAAUAUUGGUCUAGAAUUGAAAGGAAAACAAUGUUUGCUUUCUAAUUGCCCUAUUUAUUUUUAGUUUGAUCUCAUUUAUUUAGCAUUAAAAUGAAAUCUUUCCAAAGCAACUGCUCCAUAAACUAAAGUGACAGCACUUAACACUGCUCCAGCACAUAUGUCUGUCACUCAAAUAGACAGCCGUCUGUAAACACAUAUAAGCAACUUCAUUCUUCCAUCAGAAACCUUGCUGUUCCCAAGUCAAAACAGAAACAUGGGUAGAAUAUAAUUGUUAUGAGAACUUGUUCCACAGUUUCCAUGCUGCAGUACUGGCCUAAUUUCACUGGGGAGGAAUAGAAGUUUUAUGGAGCUGGGAAAACUAGUGUUCAAAAAUUGCUUAUAAUUUAUAUGUGCCAAAUGGUACUUCUGGCACCUUAAUUAUUCCUUGUUUCAUUAUUCCUGGAUUCCUGAUAGCGGGCUGAUUCAUAGCUUUCACUUGUUCUCACUGUAAGAUAAUACAGGGAGAGGUAAAGCAGCUGCUGUUUGCAGCAAUAUCUGUCACGGGGGAGAAUCCUGAGUAGAGCCUAGGGGAGUCCUUUGAAGAAGGUCUAUAUGAUGUGCUGGUCUCUUUGAGGAGUUGUGGAAUACUUUGAAAGUUGGUUUAAUGAUGCUCACUAUUUUGAGGGAAUGAAUCACCUGAAAUUCAGCAGCAAUAAUACCUAUAUUCAUAACAAUGUCAUUCUGCAAUAUGUCUCUGAAAAUGGACUGCAGGCAAGAGGCAAUGCAUACAGGAACACCGCCAAAGUCAAGCAAACAAAACACUCAGGAUCAUUACUUUUACCAGCCAUUGCCCUUUUUUUCUUGCAGUGAGAGAGCAUCAUCCAUGCAGGUUCAAUUUUCCUCUCUAGUUUGUAACCAUAUUUUGCAUGCAACAACUCUUCAGCUUGUGCAUUUGGGAGAAGAGGAACACAGUCAUGAUUAAUUUGAUUUUUUGUGAGAAGACCCCAUAGUUGGAAAGAAUGUGACUUACAUGGACAAAACUACCAUUUGCUAAAUGCCAUAAGGGGGGAAUAGAAUACCAACAUGGAAAUGAUUAUGUAACACUUUAGGUGCUCCCCAAGCUAUCUCAGUAUAAGUUAAGUGAAAAGCAUUACAGAGGCACAUUAGAUUGCAUCUUUACAGGGAACAAAAAGCUUACAAAUCACAAAACCUGCUACAUUCUGCAAUGAAUGAAUAAAUGUGCUGGCAUCAUACGAUGCUGUGGGUCA
rnacentral:lncRNA from 1 species